AAUUCUCAAUCUCUACAACCUUGUGUUGUUAGUGGAUUGGAUGUGGGGGUUUUGUGGGCAUAUCUAUUAUAUCCACUCCUCUGAAAAUUAUUAGCUGGAAUGCCUUUGCAAAACCAACUAUCAGUAUGAUAAUUAUCUACUCUGAUGUUGUUGUGAAGGGAAUCUGCUUUCAAACCGUCAUUCUGACAAUUUGAAUCC
rnacentral:misc_RNA from 1 species